AAGUCGUAACAAGGUUUCCGUAGGUGAACCUGCGGAAGGAUCAUUAUAAAAUUUUUCUUGCAUAUUUUUUUAAAAUGUGUAAAAAAAAAUCUUGUAUUCAAAACCCACACUCUUUAAAACCAUAAUAAAAAAAUUUUUAUGUUUAUAUACAUGAAAUUUUUUUAUUUAAAAAUAAUAUAUAUAAUAAAAAGACAACUUUCAACAACGGAUCUCUUGGCUCUC
rnacentral:misc_RNA from 1 species